rnacentral:rRNA from 1 species
CCUACGGGUGGCUGCAGUGGGGAAUAUUGGACAAUGGGGGCAACCCUGAUCCAGCCAUGCCGCGUGUGUGAAGAAGGCCCUCGGGUUGUAAAGCACUUUCAGUGAGGAAGAACGCCUGGUGGUUAAUACCCAUCAGGAAAGACAUCACUCACAGAAGAAGCACCGGCUAACUCCGUGCCAGCAGCCGCGGUAAUACGGAGGGUGCGAGCGUUAAUCGGAAUUACUGGGCGUAAAGCGCGCGUAGGUGGCUUGAUAAGCCGGUUGUGAAAGCCCCGGGCUCAACCUGGGAACGGCAUCCGGAACUGUCAAGCUAGAGUGCAGGAGAGGAAGGUAGAAUUCCCGGUGUAGCGGUGAAAUGCGUAGAGAUCGGGAGGAAUACCAGUGGCGAAGGCGGCCUUCUGGACUGACACUGACACUGAGGUGCGAAAGCAUGGGUAGCAAACAGGAUUAGAUACCCCUGUAGUC